rfam:Macrostomum lignano uti_cns_0004393, whole genome shotgun sequence.
AAAACGGCCCUUUUCAGGGCCACCACAUUAAAUUGAUGUCAAAAU